rnacentral:tRNA from 1 species
GCCACGGUAGUUCAGUUGGUUAGAAUACGACAUUGGUAAUGUCGAGGUCGGGAGUUCGAUCCUCCCCCGUGGCU